GGUUAAGCGACUAAGCGUACACGGUGGAUGCCCUGGCAGUCAGAGGCGAUGAAGGGCGUGCUAAUCUGCGAUAAGCGCCGGUAAGGUGAUAUGAACCGUUAUAACCGGCGAUACCCGAAUGGGGAAACCCAGUGUGACUCGUCACACUAUCAUUAACUGAAUCCAUAGGUUAAUGAGGCGAACCGGGGGAACUGAAACAUCUAAGUACCCCGAGGAAAAGAAAUCAACCGAGAUUCCCCCAGUAGCGGCGAGCGAACGGGGAGGAGCCCAGAGCCUGAAUCAGCAUGUGUGUUAGUGGAAGCGUCUGGAAAGGCGCGCGAUACAGGGUGACAGCCCCGUACACAAAAGCGCAUGUGCUGUGAGCUCGAUGAGUAGGGCGGGACACGUGGUAUCCUGUCUGAAUAUGGGGGGACCAUCCUCCAAGGCUAAAUACUCCUGACUGACCGAUAGUGAACCAGUACCGUGAGGGAAAGGCGAAAAGAACCCCGGCGAGGGGAGUGAAAAAGAACCUGAAACCGUGUACGUACAAGCAGUGGGAGCACAGGUUUACCUGUGUGACUGCGUACCUUUUGUAUAAUGGGUCAGCGACUUAUAUUCUGUAGCAAGGUUAACCGAAUAGGGGAGCCGGAGGGAAACCGAGUCUUAAUUGGGCGUUAAGUUGCAGGGUAUAGACCCGAAACCCGGUGAUCUAGCCAUGGGCAGGUUGAAGGUUGGGUAACACUAACUGGAGGACCGAACCGACUAAUGUUGAAAAAUUAGCGGAUGACCUGUGGCUGGGGGUGAAAGGCCAAUCAAACCGGGAGAUAGCUGGUUCUCCCCGAAAGCUAUUUAGGUAGCGCCUCGUGAAUUCAUCUCCGGGGGUAGAGCACUGUUUCGGCUAGGGGGCCAUCCCGGCUUACCAACCCGAUGCAAACUGCGAAUACCGGAGAAUGUUAUCACGGGAGACACACGGCGGGUGCUAACGUCCGUCGUGAAGAGGGAAACAACCCAGACCGCCAGCUAAGGUCCCAAAGUCAUGGUUAAGUGGGAAACGAUGUGGGAAGGCCCAGACAGCCAGGAUGUUGGCUUAGAAGCAGCCAUCAUUUAAAGAAAGCGUAAUAGCUCACUGGUCGAGUCGGCCUGCGCGGAAGAUGUAACGGGGCUAAACCAUGCACCGAAGCUGCGGCAGCGACGCUUAUGCGUUGUUGGGUAGGGGAGCGUUCUGUAAGCCUGCGAAGGUGGCCUGUGAGGGUUGCUGGAGGUAUCAGAAGUGCGAAUGCUGACAUAAGUAACGAUAAAGCGGGUGAAAAGCCCGCUCGCCGGAAGACCAAGGGUUCCUGUCCAACGUUAAUCGGGGCAGGGUGAGUCGACCCCUAAGGCGAGGCCGAAAGGCGUAGUCGAUGGGAAACGGGUUAAUAUUCCCGUACUUGGUGUUACUGCGAAGGGGGGACGGAGAAGGCUAUGUUGGCCGGGCGACGGUUGUCCCGGUUUAAGCGUGUAGGUGUGUGUUCCAGGUAAAUCCGGUUCACUUUAACACUGAGGCGUGAUGACGAGGCACACUACGGUGCUGAAGUAACAAAUGCCCUGCUUCCAGGAAAAGCCUCUAAGCAUCAGGUAACAUCAAAUCGUACCCCAAACCGACACAGGUGGUCAGGUAGAGAAUACCAAGGCGCUUGAGAGAACUCGGGUGAAGGAACUAGGCAAAAUGGUGCCGUAACUUCGGGAGAAGGCACGCUGACACGUAGGUGAAGUGAUUUACUCACGGAGCUGAAGUCAGUCGAAGAUACCAGCUGGCUGCAACUGUUUAUUAAAAACACAGCACUGUGCAAACACGAAAGUGGACGUAUACGGUGUGACGCCUGCCCGGUGCCGGAAGGUUAAUUGAUGGGGUCAGCGCAAGCGAAGCUCCUGAUCGAAGCCCCGGUAAACGGCGGCCGUAACUAUAACGGUCCUAAGGUAGCGAAAUUCCUUGUCGGGUAAGUUCCGACCUGCACGAAUGGCGUAAUGAUGGCCAGGCUGUCUCCACCCGAGACUCAGUGAAAUUGAACUCGCUGUGAAGAUGCAGUGUACCCGCGGCAAGACGGAAAGACCCCGUGAACCUUUACUAUAGCUUGACACUGAACAUUGAGCCUUGAUGUGUAGGAUAGGUGGGAGGCUUUGAAGUGUGGACGCCAGUCUGCAUGGAGCCGACCUUGAAAUACCACCCUUUAAUGUUUGAUGUUCUAACGUGGACCCGUUACCCGGGUUGCGGACAGUGUCUGGUGGGUAGUUUGACUGGGGCGGUCUCCUCCUAAAGAGUAACGGAGGAGCACGAAGGUUGGCUAAUCCUGGUCGGACAUCAGGAGGUUAGUGCAAUGGCAUAAGCCAGCUUGACUGCGAGCGUGACGGCGCGAGCAGGUGCGAAAGCAGGUCAUAGUGAUCCGGUGGUUCUGAAUGGAAGGGCCAUCGCUCAACGGAUAAAAGGUACUCCGGGGAUAACAGGCUGAUACCGCCCAAGAGUUCAUAUCGACGGCGGUGUUUGGCACCUCGAUGUCGGCUCAUCACAUCCUGGGCUGAAGUAGGUCCCAAGGGUAUGGCUGUUCGCCAUUUAAAGUGGUACGCGAGCUGGGUUUAGAACGUCGUGAGACAGUUCGGUCCCUAUCUGCCGUGGGCGCUGGAGAACUGAGGGGGCUGCUCCUAGUACGAGAGGACCGGAGUGGACGCAUCACUGGUGUUCGGGUUGUCAUGCCAAUGGCACUGCCCGGUAGCUAAAUGCGGAAGAGAUAAGUGCUGAAAGCAUCUAAGCACGAAACUUGCCCCGAGAUGAGUUCUCCCUGAGACUUAAAGUCUCCUGAAGGAACGUUGAAGACGACGACGUUGAUAGGCCGGGUGUGUAAGCGCAGCGAUGCGUUGAGCUAACCGGUACUAAUGAACCGUGAGGCUUAACCCU
rnacentral:rRNA from 1 species